GUGCCGGCGAGUGGCGAACGGGUGAGUAAUGCAUCGGAACGUGUCCUGUCGUGGGGGAGUAACUGGCCGAAAGGUCAGCUAAUACCGCAUGAGACCCGAGGGUGAAAGCGGGGAUCGCAAGACCUCGCGCGACUGGAGCGGCCGAUGUCUGAUUAGCUGGUUGGUGGGGUAAAAGCUUACCAAGGCGACGAUCAGUAGCUGGUCUGAGAGGAUGAUCAGCCACAUUGGGACUGAGACACGGCCCAGACUCCUACGGGAGGCAGCAGUGGGGAAUUUUGGACAAUGGGGAAACCCUGAUCCAGCCAUGCCGCGUGCGGGAUGAAGGCCUUCGGGUUGUAAACCGCUUUUGUCAGAGACGAAAAGGGACCUGUGAACAACAGGUUCCGCUGACGGUAUCUGAAGAAUAAGCACCGGCUAACUACGUGCC
rnacentral:rRNA from 1 species